rnacentral:lncRNA from 1 species
GACGUGUUGGAAUUCUUAAGAAUAGAGAGAAGCACAAGGGUAGCUUUGAGACAGUUCACAUUCAAGACUCCCUGGGGCAUGAGUUUGCUACCCGUUUGGGAAAUGUGUUCACUCUUGGCAAGGGUAGUAAGCCAUGGGUGUCUCUACCUAAGGGGAAAGGUAUCAAGUUAUCUAUCAUUGAAGAGGCUCGCAAGAGGAUGGCUGCCCAAUCAGCUACAACUGCUUAAAAAUCUUAGUUUGAACUUGAGAUGAGAUUAAUAGGUUGGGCCAUAUUUCUCUUUGUUUAGAGGGAUGCCGUUCUUAUUUUUGUGUGUUCCAUUUCAAUAUUUGUGUACUCGGUACUGUUUUACAUACAUUUUUUUGUCAGGAAAAAAGAAAGACUGAGUUGAGAUCAAUCAGUUGCCUUCUAUGUUAUAGUAUUUUAUUGCGACUGAGUUUAAGGACACCUUGUCCAUGAGUUUAUUAACUUAAUUCAAAAUGAGUUUUUGGUUGUAAUAUUUUUUAAACUGACCCGGAGUUGGAUUCCAAAUUUGGUAUUCUUCACUUAACCUGAUUCCUAAUUUUUUUUUGGUCAUUUAACUUCCGAUUAAGUUAGCUCUUUUGUCCUGCUAAUAGUAUAAUCAAACGCCACUGUCUAAUUUGUAAGAGUUAUUUGACUUGUUUCAUUAGAGUUAAAAUGAUAAGCUUAGUAAAAACUUAUUCAGCAGAACACUUAACUGACAGGGUACAAUCAAGUAUUAGUUAGUGACACUUGAACUCUCACGUCAAUUCCUUCACAAUAGUAAAUUAUUUCCUGCGUAAAGAAAUAAAAUGUUAUACUUUGAUUUCAAGCUUGAAAUAAGGAGAUACAUCUUAUUAUGUGUAUUUGCAACCAAAUUUAAACUUCCAUUUCAUAGCUUAAAUAUCGUCAUUUUAAAUAAAUAUAGAGGCUAUGUUUGUUGGGUCGCAUAAACAAAGUCAGCCCGUGUAAUUUGUUCGAUAAAUAAGGCCCAUAUUACAAGGCCCAACUUGCUUUAGGCCCAAAACAAAUUGGGCGCACGAGAUAUGUAGUAGAGUACAACAGAUUGUAUCUUCAUCUCAUUAGGGUUGAAGACACACGCCUCUCGCCGGUAGACGUCACUCUCGGCAGCUAAUCUGUCGGAAAACCGCCAAAAUGGUUAGUUUUCUCUCUCUCUGUUAAUUCAUCUCGUCAAUGUUGUUUAGAUUGUUAUUUGGUGCCUGAUAGAUCAGUUGUAUUUUAGUCUUAUUGGCUUUUUUUCCAGGUCUACACUGUAUGUAUCAGUUAUACCUUUGCUAAUUGUUUGCUAUAUGUGUAAUACAUCUGAUAUUAUAUUCUUGGUUGUUCCGUUCGAUUUAUGCUCUCAAUCGUAUCUGUUGAUCUCAAGUGGUGCUGGUUAAUAUCGUAUGUGUAAGUAAUCAAUUGCAUUUAGUUACUGUCGCCACUGGAUAUUAGUGUAUACAGUUUUUUAUAAUUGUAUUUUGCUUUCAUUGUGAUUGCUGUUGCACUCUGUGUUGUACUGUAUUCUAUUGGAUUGUUUUAAUGAAUACAACAUUUGGAUAGAUUUUAUGGUUCUACAGAUAGAGCUAAAAUAAGAUCAUUAAAUAAUUAGUAAAGACAUAGUGAGAAAAUAAAUAAAUCAGACAAAAUGGUCGCUACACAAAGUGAGACCGAUACCUAACUGUUAUUUUAAUGAUAGCUUAAGAUUUGCACAAUGAAAUUGUGUAGUAUAGUUCAAGUUAUUUACUCUAUGUAUUGAAAAAUUUGUUCUGUACCUUUGCGAAAGAACAUGCUUCUAAUGUUGUUUGACAUGGAUAGAUUUUAAAAGAACCUGUGGAACAGCUUCCCUUUAUAUUUUUGGUCAAUUGAUUUUUGUUCUAACUUCUAUCAGCUUUCAUUUAUAUUAAGUGGUAAAAUUUUUGCAUUUAGGCUGGAAACAUCAUACUAAUGUGAAUUUUGUAAUUUCUUGUCUAUAUAUAGGCAAGAGGGUUGAAGAAACAUUUAAAGAGGCUCAAUGCGCCUAAGCAUUGGAUGCUUGAUAAACUUGGAGGUGCUUUUGUAAGUGACAUGUCUUUCCCUUAAGUCUUUUUCUUAAUAGUACUCGUAGUUCCCUGCUUCUUGACUUCACUGCUCUCUUUGGUCUCUACUGCAGGCUCCCAAGCCUUCUUCUGGUCCACAUAAAUCAAGGGAAUGUUUGCCAUUGGUUAUUAUCCUGAGGAACAGGUUGAAAUAUGCGUUGACGUACCGUGAGGUCAUUUCUAUCUUGAUGCAACGCCAAGUUAUGGUUGAUGGGAAAGUUAGAACAGAUAAGACUUACCCUGCUGGUUUCAUGGGUAAGCACACCUCCAUUAGAGUGUUUUUCAUUUCAAAACCUUUAUACUUAUGUUUUCCUUAUUUCUGUACUGCCUAUGUUUGUAGUCUUACUGAUUCAUUUAUAUACACACGCUUUGACAGUUCCAAAGACAAUUGUUGUUGAGAGUGUCUUCAAGCUUUUUUAAUCAAAAAUCAUUUUUUAGUGUCUUUUUUUCUUGUUGCUAUGUUUGUUGAAUUCCUUGACAAAUUGGUAAUGCUGUUAUUUUCUCUGUGUAGACGUUGUUACUAUUCCAAAGACGAAUGAGAGCUUCCGACUUCUUUAUGACACUAAGGGUCGGUUCCGUCUACACUCACUCAGAGAUGAGGAAGCCAAGGUUUGAACCUGUUUCCUGCUUCUUCUUUGUUCCGGUUUGCUUUGGAUGCUGUGCUGUUAAAGUAGUGACCUUGUUUUCUGCUCUCUGCAGUUCAAACUUUGCAAGGUUCGAUCAGUGCAGUUUGGACAGAAGGGUAUCCCAUAUCUCAACACGUAUGAUGGAAGAACAAUCCGCUACCCCGAUCCCCUCAUCAAGGCCAAUGACACCAUCAAGCUGGACUUAGAUUCCAAUAAGAUUGUUGACUUCAUCAAGUUUGAUGUUGGUAAUGUGGUUAUGGUGACUGGUGGUAGAAACAGGGGACGUGUUGGAAUUCUUAAGAACAGGGAGAAGCACAAGGGUAGCUUUGAGACAGUUCACAUUCAGGAUUCCCUGGGGCAUGAGUUUGCUACCCGUUUGGGAAAUGUGUUCACUCUUGGUAAAGGUAGUAAGCCAUGGGUCUCUCUACCUAAGGGUAAAGGUAUCAAGUUAUCUAUCAUUGAAGAGGCUCGCAAGAGGAUGGCUGCUCAAUCAGCUACAACUGCUUAAAAAUGAUAGGUUGAACUUGAGAUGAAUUUAAUAGGUUGCGCUAUUUUUCUCUUUGUUUAGAGGGUUGCCACCUCUUAUUUUUGGUGUUGCAUUUCAACAUCCUAUGUACUCGGUAUUGUUUUACAUACCUUUUUUUGUCAGGAAAAAACAAUGACUGAGUUUAGACCAAUCAGUUGCCUUUUUAUGUGAUGGUAUUUCAUUGUAAGAGUUUAAGGACCUUGUCGAUGAGUUUAUUCACUUGUUUCAAAAUGAGUUUUUGGUUGUAAUAUCUUCAAAUCCAACCUGCUGUUGUAUUCCAAAGUUGGUGUAGUUCACUAAACCUGAUUCGUAAUUUCAUUUUCAUAAACUUCAAAUGAUGUGGGUUCUUUUGUCCUACUAAUUGUACAAUCAAACAUAAUUGUCGAAUUAUAUGUAUUUUCGGAAUCUCUUUCCUGAUGAUUUCUGAUUUUGAUGUAAUUUUGUUUGAGUUAAUGUCAUUAGAGUUAAAAAUGAGAAGUUCAGUCAUUGAUUAUAUAGUAGAUGACUCGAAUGAGUGAGAACAAUGAAGGAUUAAUAACACUUUGAUAUUGGUUCACUUAGUCCAUCUUUUGUAUUAAAAUGUAAGAACUAAGAAUCAUAUCCUCACAAACAUUAUGAAAAGAAAGUUAUCGUGGGGACAAAUUAUUGUCCAGAUGCAAUUAGUCUUGUAGUGACAACACUUCAAGGCAUACAAUCAACUAAAACUAUUUAGUUCAUAAAUAAUGAUUUCAUUUCUGCUAAUGUAAGUGCCCAACAAGCCAUUUUAUGUACAUGUACUUGAAUACAGAGUUUAAAGAAAUUUCACUGAAGAUCGAUGAUAUGAUAUGUUUGACAUGUCUAUUCAUUUUCCAUUUUAUACAAAGAACUUCAAUAUCAAGUGGUGCUUUGCAAAUGGUUAGUACAACAAAAAUGCUGAGCAUGUAGUAAGGUAUAUUAGGCACAAAUCAUCACUUAGUUGACAUAAAAAUGCACAACCAGGUCCGACUUAGUAGAAAUAAACAUGGUAUUUAAUGAAAGAGCAAAUAGAACCUAAAACAGAAUACAAAAUUUGCACGGUAAAUUCUCACAUCAAUUCAAUCACAAUAGUAAAUUAUUACCUGCAUAACAAAAUAGAAUGUUAUUUUUGGUUUUCAAGCUAGAUAUAAGGAGAUACAUCUUAGUAAGUGUAUUUGCUAACAAAUUCAAACUUCCAUUUCAUAGCUUAAACAUCUUUCUUUCAGAUAAAUAUAGAGGCUAUGUUUGUUGGGUCGCAUAAUUGUUCGAUAAAUAAGGCCCAUAUUCUAAAGUGGUUAAAUGGCCCAAUAUGCUAUAGGCCCAAAACAAAUUGGGCGCAUGAGGUAUGUAAUAUAGUAUUUAAGAGAUUGUAUCUUCAUCUCGUUAGGGUUUGAAGAGACACACCUCUCGCCGGUUGCCGUCACUCGCCGCAGUUAAUCAGUCGGGAAACCGCCAAAAUGGUUAGUUUUCUCUAUCUGUUUAUUAAUCUCGUUAAUUUUUUUAGAUUGUUAUUUGUUGCCUGAUUGAUCAGUUGUAUUUGAGUCUCCAUGGCUUUUGUUCCAGGUCUAGACAGUACUGUAUCAGUUAUACCUUUGCUAAUUGCUUGCUAUAUGUGUAAUUCAUGUAAUAUUAUAUUCUUGGCUGUGCUUUUCGAUUUAUGCGCUGAAAUGUAUGUGUUGAUCUCAAGUGGUGCUGGUUAAUUUUAGGGCUUGUAUGUGUAAAUAAUCAAUUACAUUAGUUACUGUCGCCAUUAGAUAUUAGUGUAUACAGUUUUUUUAGUUGUAUUUUGCUGUCAUUGUGAUUGCUGUUGCACUCUGUGUUGUACUGUAUCCUUCUUAAAAAAUUAAUUUUGUUACAAGAUAAGAUUACUAAAUAAUUAGUAAAGACAUAGUGAGAAAAUAAAUAGAUCAGGCCAAAUUGGUCGUUACACAAAGUAAGACAAAUCCCUUACUGCUGAUUUAAUGAUAGCUUGAGGUUUGGACAGUGGAAUUGUGUAGUAUAAGUUCAAGUUAUUUACUCGAUGCAUUGAAUAAUUGCUCUUUACCUUUGUGAAAAAACAAGCUUCUAUUGUUGUUUGACAUAGAUAGAUUAUAAUAAAAAGCUGUGGAAUAGCUCCCCUUUUUCUUUUUGGUAAAGUGACUUUUGUUCUUUCAGCUUUCAUUUAUAUAAGUGGUAAUAUUUUUGCAUUUAGGCUUUGGAAACAUCAUACUAAAGUGAAUUGUGUAACUUCUUGUCCAUAUAUAGGCAAGAGGGUUGAAGAAACAUUUGAAGAGGCUCAAUGCGCCUAAGCAUUGGAUGCUUGAUAAACUUGGAGGUGCUUUUGUAAGUGACAUGUCUUUCCCUAUAGUCUUUUUUUUGAUAGUACUACUUAGUUUCCUCCUUCUUGACUUUACUUUUCUCCUUGGUUUCUACUGCAGGCUCCCAAGCCUUCUUCUGGUCCACAUAAAUCAAGGGAAUGUUUGCCAUUGGUUAUUAUCCUGAGGAACAGGUUGAAAUAUGCGUUGACGUACCGUGAGGUCAUUUCUAUCUUGAUGCAACGCCAAGUUAUGGUUGAUGGGAAAGUUAGAACAGAUAAGACUUACCCUGCUGGUUUCAUGGGUAAGAACACCUCUAUUAGAGUGUCUUUCAUUUCAAAACCUUUAGAUUUAUGUUCUCCUUAUUUCUGUACUGUCUAGGUUUGCGGUCUUACUGAUUCAUCUAUAUACACAUGCUUUCACAGAUCCAAAGACCAUUGUUGAUGAGAGUGUAUUCAAGCUUUUUUAUCAAAAAUUAUUGUCUCAGUGUCCUUUUUUCUUAUUUUUUUUCUUGUUGCUAUGUUUGUUGAAUUCCUUGACAAAUUGGUAAUGCUUUUAUUUUGUUUGUGUAGAUGUUGUUACUAUUCCAAAGACAAAUGAGAGCUUCCGACUUCUUUAUGACACUAAGGGUCGGUUCCGCCUCCACUCACUCAGAGACGAGGAAGCCAAGGUUUGAACCUGUAUCCUGCUUCUUCUUUGUUCCGGUUUGCUUUGGCUGUGCUGCUUAAGUAGUGACCUUGUUUUCUGCUCGCAGUUCAAACUUUGCAAGGUUCGAUCAGUCCAGUUUGGACAGAAGGGUAUCCCAUAUCUCAACACAUAUGAUGGAAGAACAAUCCGCUACCCUGAUCCCCUCAUCAAGGCCAAUGACACCAUCAAGCUGGACUUAGAUUCCAAUAAGAUUGUUGACUUCAUCAAGUUUGAUGUUGGUAAUGUGGUUAUGGUUACUGGUGGUAGAAACAGGGGACGUGUUGGAAUUCUUAAGAAUAGAGAGAAGCACAAGGGUAGCUUUGAGACAGUUCACAUUCAGGAUUCCCUGGGGCAUGAGUUCGCUACCCGUUUGGGGAAUGUGUUCACUCUUGGUAAAGGUAGUAAGCCAUGGGUGUCUUUACCUAAGGGUAAAGGUAUCAAGUUAUCUAUUAUUGAAGAGGCUCGCAAGAGGAUGGCUGCUCAAUCAGCUACAACUGCUUAAUAAUCAUAGGUUGAACUUGAGAUUAAUUUAAUAGAUUUGGUCAUUUUUCUCUUUGUUUAGAGGGAUGCCGUUCUUAUUUUUUGUGUUGCAUUUCAACAUCUGUGUACUUGGUACUAUUUUACAUACCUUUUUUUGUCAGGAAAAAAGAAAGACUCAGUUGAGAUCAAUCAGUUGCCUUUUAUGUGAUAGUAUUUUAUUGUUACAGUUUAUGAUCUUUGUCGAUGAGUUUAUUCACUUAUUUCAAAAUGUGUUUUUGGUUGUAAUAUCUUUAAAUCCAACCUGGUGUUGGAUUCCAAAUUUGGUAUAGUGCACUAAACUUGAUUCCUACUUCCUUUUUCGUAAACUUCAAAUGAAGUGGUUUCUUUUGUCCUGCAAAUAGUAUAAUCAAACAUAAUUGUCUAAUUUGAUAUAUUUUCCGAAUCUCUUGCCAGUUAAUUUCUGAUUUUGAUGUAAUUUUGUUUGAGUGGUGUCAUUAGAGUUAAAAUGAGAAGUUAAGUCAUAAAUUAUACAGACUUAACUGAGUGAGUGCAACCAAGGAUUAAUUACACUUGAUAUUGGUUUACAUAGUCCAUCUUUUGUAUUAAAAUGUAAGAAAUAAGAAUCAAUUAAACAUGAUAUUGGUUUACAUAGUUCAUCUUUUUUAUUAAAAUGUAAGAAAUAAGAAUCAUAUCCUCAACGAUGAAAUGAAAGUUAUCGUAUUGUCAGAUGCAAGUGACAACUCUUCAAGGCAAACGAUCAACUAAAACUAUUUAGUUAAAAAAUAGUGAUUUUAUUUCUGCUAAUGUAAGUGCCCAAAGCCAUUUUAUGUAUAGGUAAGUGAAUACAAAGUUUAAAGAAAUUCUCUCUGAAAAUCAAUGAUAUUUAUAUGUUUGACAUAUCUAUUCAUUUUCCAUUUUAUACAAAAAGAACUUCAAUAUCAAGUUAGUACAACAAAAAUGCUGAGCAUGUAGUUAGUCAUAUUAGGCACAAAUCAUCACUUAGUAGACAUAAAAUUACACAACCAGAUACGACUUAGUAGAAAUAAACAUAGUGUUUAACCAAAGAGCAAAUAGAAUCUAAAACAGUAUACGAAAUAUGCACGGUAAAUUCUCACAUCAAUUCAAUCACAAUAGUAAUUAUUGCCUGCAUAACAAAAUAGAAUGUUAGACUUUUGGUUUUCAAGCUAGAAAAUUCAAACUUCUUUCUUUCAGAUAAAUAUAGAGGCUAUGUUUGUUGGGUCGCAUAAUUGUUUGAUAAAUAAGGCCCAUAUUCUAUAGGCCCAAAACAAAUUGGGCGCAUGAGGUAUGUAAUAUAGUAUUUAACAGAUUGUAUCUUCAUCUCGUUAGGGUUUAAGACACACACCUCUCGCCGGUAGCCGUUACUCGCCGCAGCUAAUCAGUCGGAAAACCGCCAAAAUGGUUAGUUUUCUCUCUCUGUUAAUUCAUCUCGUCAAUUUUGUUUAGCUUGUUAUUUGUUGCCUGAUAGAUCAGUUGUAUUUUAGUCUUCAUGGCUUUUGUUCCAGGUCUACACUGUACUGUAUUAGUUAUACCUUUGCUAAUUGCUUGCUAUAUGUGUAAUUCAUCUAAUUCUUGGCUGUUCCUUUCGAUUUAUGCGCUCAAAUGUAUGUGUUGAUCUCAAGUGGUGCUGGUUAAUUUUAAGGCUCGUAUGUGUAAAUAAUCAAUUACAUUAGUUACUGUCGCCAUUAGAUAUUAGUGUAUACUGCUUUUUUAGUUGUAUUUUGCUGUCAUUUUGAUUGCUAUUGCACUCUAUGUUGUACUGUAUCAUACUGUUUUAAUGAAUUCAACAUUUGGAAAGAUUUUAUGGUUCUACAGUUAGAGCUACUUUAAUAAGUUGAUUUUAGUACAAAAUAAUAUUACUAAAUAAUUAGUAAAGAAAUAGUGAGAAAUUAAAUAAAUCGGACGAAAUUGGUCGUUACACAAGGUGAGUUGGUGAGAUGAGACGGAUACCUAACUGUUCUUUUAAUGAUAGCUUAAGAUUUGGACAGUGAAAUUGUGUAAUAUUGUUCAAGUUGUUGACGUAUUGAAAAAUUGUUCUUUACGCUUGUGAAAGAACAUGCAUCUAGCGUUGUUUAACAUAGAUAGAUUAUAAUAAAAAGCUGUGGAAUAGCUCCCCUUUUUCUUUUUGGUUAAGUGACUUUUGUUCUUUCAGCUUUCAUUUAUAUAAGUGGUAAUAUUUUUGCAUUUAGGCUUUGGAAACAUCAUACUAAAGUGAAUUGUGUAACUUCUUGUCCAUAUAUAGGCAAGAGGGUUGAAGAAACAUUUGAAGAGGCUCAAUGCGCCUAAGCAUUGGAUGCUUGAUAAACUUGGAGGUGCUUUUGUAAGUGACAUGUCUUUCCCUAUAGUCUUUUUUUUGAUAGUACUACUUAGUUUCCUCCUCCUUGACUUUACUCUUCUCCUUUGUUUCUACUGCAGGCUCCCAAGCCUUCUUCUGGUCCACAUAAAUCAAGGGAAUGUUUGCCAUUGGUUAUUAUCCUGAGGAACAGGUUGAAAUAUGCGUUGACGUACCGUGAGGUCAUUUCUAUCUUGAUGCAACGCCAAGUUAUGGUUGAUGGGAAAGUUAGGACAGAUAAGACUUACCCUGCUGGUUUCAUGGGUAAGAACAGCUCCAUUAGAUUGUUUUUUCAUUUCAUAAUCUUUAGAUUUUUGUUCUCCUUAUUUCUGUGCUGCUUAGGUUUGUUAUCUUAGUGAUUCAUCUAUACACAUGGUUUCACAGUUCCGAAGACAAUUGUUGAUCAGAUUGUCUACAAGCUUUUUUAUCAAAAACCAUUGUCUCGUGUCCUUUUUCUUCUUUGUUCUCUUGUUGCUAUGUUUGUUGAAUUCCUUGAUAAAUUGGUAAUGCUGUUAUUUUGUUUGUGUAGAUGUUGUUACUAUUCCAAAGACGAAUGAGAGCUUCCGACUUCUUUAUGACACUAAGGGUCGGUUCCGUCUCCACUCACUCAGAGAUGAGGAAGCCAAGGUUUGAAUCUGUUUCCUGCUUCUUCUUUAUUCCGGUUUGCUUUGGAUGCUGUGCUGUUAAAGUAGUGACCUUGUUUCUGCUCUUUGCAGUUCAAACUUUGUAAGGUUCGAUCAGUGCAGUUUGGACAGAAGGGGAUCCCAUAUCUCAACACUUAUGAUGGAAGAACAAUCCGCUACCCUGAUCCCCUCAUCAAGGCCAAUGACACUAUCAAGCUUGACUUAGAUUCGAACAAGAUUGUUGACUUCAUCAAGUUUGAUGUUGGAAAUGUGGUCAUGGUUACUGGUGGUAGAAACAGGGGACGUGUUGGAAUUCUUAAGAACAGGGAGAAGCACAAGGGUAGCUUUGAGACAGUUCACAUUCAGGACUCCCUGGGGCACGAGUUUGCUACUCGUCUGGGCAAUGUGUUCACUCUUGGCAAGGGUAGUAAGCCAUGGGUGUCUCUACCUAAGGGUAAAGGUAUCAAGUUAUCUAUCAUUGAAGAGGCUCGCAAGAGGAUGGCUGCUCAGUCAGCUACAGCUGCUUAAAAUGUCUAGGUUGGACUUAUGAUGAAUUUAACAGGUUGGGCCAUGAUUCUCACUGUUUAGAGAUACCAA